rnacentral:rRNA from 1 species
GGCGAACGCUGGCGGCGUGCCUAAUACAUGCAAGUUGAGCGCUGAAGGUUGGUACUUGUACCAACUGGAUGAGCAGCGAACGGGUGAGUAACGCGUGGGGAAUCUGCCUUUGAGCGGGGGACAACAUUUGGAAACGAAUGCUAAUACCGCAUAAAAACUUUAAACACAAGUUUUAAGUUUGAAAGAUGCAAUUGCAUCACUCAAAGAUGAUCCCGCGUUGUAUUAGCUAGUUGGUGAGGUAAAGGCUCACCAAGGCGAUGAUACAUGGCCGACCUGAGAGGGUGAUCGGCCACAUUGGGACUGAGACACGGCCCAAACUCCUACGGGAGGCAGCAGUAGGGAAUCUUCGGCAAUGGACGAAAGUCUGACCGAGCAACGCCGCGUGAGUGAAGAAGGUUUUCGGAUCGUAAAACUCUGUUGGUAGAGAAGAACGUUGGUGAGAGUGGAAAGCUCAUCAAGUGACGGUAACUACCCAGAAAGGGACGGCUAACUACGUG